GGGAAAAGAUCCGGAGAAGGUAAAAACUAACCAAUAAUAUCAAUACACAGAAUGAUGCAAACCCAAGUUGCAUCACGUGCGGGAUACAGUAAUCUACCGCAGUUUGGUGCAGGAAUCGCACAGGAUAUAAAGACACAGGCUAUAAAUAAUUUGAAGGGUUAGUAAAAAAAAUUUAAAAAAAAACAAUUCGAAGUUGCAGAAUGUUUGAAACUUACCACUAUCAAUCGAUUUUUGACUUCAUCAUACGAAGAAGAUGCAAAAAGUGUAGAAGUAAGUUUUUUUGAAAAAAAAACAACUUUUGUAAAAAUUCAAACUUCUCCUAUUCGUGAGCAUCGUUGUUUUAUAAACUGUAAAUAAAUGAAUUCAAGACAGACUAGUCUUCAUUCAGCAGAAAAAAUUUUUAAGAUGCUUUAAAGUUUUGUUCAUAAAAUACACUAUACAUAUAUUGACACCUCAGUCCAAAUUGUUUUAGAUCUUUGUGGUAAACCAAUCUGUGGUACUAAACGUUUUUCUAGACGUUUUCCGUUUAUACUGUAAAGUUUAUUUGUAUAAUUAAAUUCUAUAAUGGUAUUUUGAUAAUAAAUUUAAAAAAUUAAAAAUUUAGAUGCACAACUUCGUGCAUGAAACGCUAAUCGUUAUAUUUGAAAAACUGAAACUUACUUUCAAACAAAUGUUGAUUUUCAAAUGUUUUAAAUUUAGUGAGUUUAUGAUAUUUUGAAUAUGAAAAAAUAUCAAAAUAUCAAAGCUUUUAAAAAAUAGAUUUAAAAACUUUAAGUGAAUGUAACUCUUUUUUUCUACGAAUUUUAGUAAUCAAGAUAUCAGAGACAGAUGAAAAGGUGAAACAACCUGAAACAAAUGGUCUGAAAUCUUUCAUUGACGUCAACUAAAUUCCAAUGAUUCUCAAUUUACAGCGCAAAAUAUUCUCGGCCGUUUAUCAAAUGACAAAAAUUGGUUUGAUUGAUCGCGAGAAGCGUGAGAUCAACGCCAUUUGGUUCACAUUUGUCGGGCUCAGCGCACAAAACAUUCGGCACUUGGAGAUUUGCUCGAUCACCGAUUUCAAUGCUCUGUUCAGCAUCACUAACCAAGAG
rnacentral:sRNA from 1 species